rnacentral:lncRNA from 1 species
CUGAGGAAAAUAUUUAUUUAAAUUCAAAAUAUCAAAAAGUAAUUUAAUUUUGCAAAGUGCUCUCAAGUGUACAGAAGUAAGCCUAAACAGAACAUGCUGAAAGAGAUUAUCGUAAUUUUGACUUCAAGAAAAUCUUUUUUACUCGAAUAAUAUUCCAAAAUCAAGUUCAAGAAGUAAUGAAUAUCAUAAAUUUUUUGGAAAUUUUUUGAAAAGUACUCUAAAUUAUCAAAACGAAUUUUAAAUCCAAAUGGUUAGUAGGUGAGUGGAAACCAACAACAAGGAUGAGUUAUGAAAAAUUCUUUCAUAUAAGGAUUCCAUCAAACCAAUAUGCUUUCAAAAAUAAAAAUCAAGACUUUUAAUAGCAUGAAAUAAAACCAAAAGAUCUAGCACCUUAAAAAUAC